rnacentral:rRNA from 1 species
CCUACGGGUGGCUGCAGUGGGGAAUAUUGCGCAAUGGGGGAAACCCUGACGCAGCGACGCCGCGUGAGCGAAGAAGGCCUUCGGGUUGUAAAGCUCUGUUGCAGGGGACGAAGGAAGAGACGGUACCCUGCCAGAAAGCCCCGGCUAACUACGUGCCAGCAGCCGCGGUAAAACGUAGGGGGCGAGCGUUGUCCGGAAUUACUGGGCGUAAAGGGCUCGUAGGCGGUAACUCAAGUCAGUUGUGAAAACCGACGGCUUAACCGGAGGAUUGCAGUUGAUACUGAGUUACUUGAGGCAAGGAGAGGAAGGUGGAAUUCCCGGUGUAGCGGUGAUAUGCGUAGAUAUCGGGAGGAACCCCAGUGGCGAAGGCGGCCUUCUGGUCUUGACCUGACGCUGAGGAGCGAAAGCCAGGGUAGCGAACGGGAUUAGAUACCCGAGUAGUC